rnacentral:tRNA from 3 species
GCCGAAGUGGCGGAAUUGGCAGACGCGUCGGUCUCAAAAACCGAUAUCUGUGAGGAUGUGCCGGUUCGACCCCGGCCUUCGGCA